UCUCUGUACUGUGCGUCAUAUCGGUUCUGGGUCCGUCGCAGCGAUCAGCCCUUCUUCCUCCGCUUUUAAAACCUUUCACCUGAUUAACUUGUUUUAUAAACUCUUUAACCUCCGUUUCUUCCGUUACUAUUAUUCUUUCUCACAACUUUAUACCGUAUGGACGCAUUUUAAUCCCGGAGUAGAUAAGGCUAGCUUCGAUUUCCCUGAAAGCACGUGACGGCAGAGAGGGGCGGGUCCUGUGAGGUGCGGGACUUCCUCGUCCAGUGCACUGCACCUCGUUGUUCGAGGCCACUUCCUCGUCCUCCGCAGAGGAGGAGGUUGGUGGCGGGGUCGGGUUCGGUAUAUGUGCGGUCAGUUG